rnacentral:sRNA from 1 species
AGUGCGCAAGCGUGAGCGGUCGGGCUCCGACGCGCGCGGGUCUCGUUUGGCGCGGGAGUGAGUUCCUGGGCGAGGGGACCCGGCAGCGGGCGAUCGGGGGUCAGGUGCCUCCACAGUCAGCAUGGCAGCGCUGCGCUACGCGGGCCUGGAUGACACGGACAGUGAGGACGAGCUGCCUCCGGGCUGGGAGGAGAGAACCACCAAGGACGGCUGGGUUUACUACGCCAAUCACACCGAGGAGAAGACUCAGUGGGAACAUCCAAAAACUGGAAAAAGAAAACGAGUGGCAGGAGAUUUGCCAUACGGAUGGGAACAAGAAACUGAUGAGAACGGACAAGUGUUUUUUGUUGACCAUAUAAAUAAAAGAACUACCUACUUGGACCCAAGACUGGCGUUUACUGUGGAUGAUAAUCCGACCAAGCCAACUACCCGGCAAAGAUACGACGGCAGCACCACUGCCAUGGAAAUUCUCCAGGGCCGGGAUUUCACUGGCAAAGUGGUUGUGGUCACUGGAGCUAAUUCCGGAAUAGCUUUCUGAACCUGAAGAACUUUGUAGAUUGAAAGCUGUAGCUUGUGGACCUCUCUCUGUGGAGAUCAGCAUCUCAGUAUCCAGGGGGAAGCCAUCUCUUCACCCAAAGCUUCCGCUAGCAGA